CCUACGGGAGGCAGCAGUGGGGAAUAUUGCACAAUGGGGGAACCCUGAUGCAGCGACGCCGCGUGAGUGGAGAAGUAUUUCGGUAUGGAAAGCUCUAUCAGCAGGGAAGAAAAUAACGGUACCUGAUUAAUAAGCCCCGGCUAACUACGUGCCAGCAGCCGCGGUGAUACGUAGGGGGCAAGCGUUAUCCGGAUUUACUGGGUGUAAAGGGAGCGGAGACGGCAGCACAAGUCUGGAGUGAAAUGCCGGGGCUUAACCCCGGAACUGCUUUGGAAACGGUGCAGCUAGAGUGCAGGAGAGGUAAGUGGAAUUCCUAGUGUAGCGGUGAAAUGCGUAGAUAUUAGGAGGAACACCAGUGGCGAAGGCGGCUUACUGGACUGUAACUGACGUUGAGGCUCGAAAGCGUGGGGAGCAAACAGGAUUAGAUACCCUUGUAGUC
rnacentral:rRNA from 1 species